CCCUUAGAUGUUCUGGGCUGCACGCGCGCUACACUGUCGGAUUCAGCGAGUCAUAUCCUUAACCGAAAGGUUUGGGUAAUCUUUUGAAAGUCCGACGUGAUGGGGAUUGAUCAUUGCAAUUAUUGAUCAUGAACGAGGAAUUCCUAGUAAGCGCGAGUCAUCAGCUCGCGUUGAUUACGUCCCUGCCCUUUGUACACACCGCCCGUCGCUACUACCGAUUGAAUGGUUUAGUGAGAUCUUCGGAUUGGCGCCUACGCGGCUUCUCUGAGGCCACGCUGGAUGCCGAAAAGUUGCUCAAACUGCAUCAUUUAGAGGAAGUAAAAGUCGUAACA
rnacentral:rRNA from 1 species